CCGUAGCCCUAAUGGAAACGGCAUCCUUUCUUGCCAGUGGUUGGCAGGAAUGAUAAAGUGCACAGCAGGAAAAAGC
rnacentral:sRNA from 1 species